AACCCGGCCGACAGAAGAUGGCGGAUGAGCAGCGUGCAGGGUUUUCUCCCUGUGGCUCACUCUCUCUUACUGUGCUGGGCGGUUGCUUCCUCUCCUGCUGCCCUUGGGAGUCAGACUCCAGGUUCUUCAGCCUGUGGCCCCUGGGGCUCUCGGGCCUUGGAGGACUGACUAGGAGCACACGGUGGGCCUCUCUGGUUUGGGGGCCUGGGACGUGGCGGAGCCCUGCAGCUUCUGUGCGGCCUGUUCUGGGCGUCGCGUUGAAACGCCAGCCAGUUCCCCAAGUAAGCUCCCUGCACACACGCCUGAUAGCCUGUUGGUUCCGUCCUUCUGCGGGAUUUUCACUACCACUCUCUAACUCACACACAGCAGAAAGAGCAUACGGGAGAGAUGAAGCAGUCCACUCCAAGAACAUUCUCAUCCUACGGAUUACGAGUCCCCCUGGGAUUACAGGAGUGUUGAAGAAAUGUUGUGACACAUCAGAACACCGCGAAAUACAUGGACACUUUCAAAUCAUGGAAGACUCAAGAAGAAACUUUAAUUAGAAGGAAACAGGAAUAUUCAACGGACUCCCAAGACAAGAAUAUAGAUGUAUAUCAGAAGCUGAGCAUUGAAGUUGCUACUAGAGUCUCCCCGAGCCCUUAUUGGAUUCUCACUUCAGGAGCUGCUUUCAUUAUUUUGCCUCUCAGUUUCAAAAUAGACAAAGAACUCAACACUCAACAAUAAGAAAAUGAACAACUUGGUUGAAAAAUGGGCCAAAGACCUUAACAGACACCUCACCAAAGAUGAUAGACAGGUAGGAAAUAAACAUAUAAAAAGAUGCUGCACGUCAGAUGUCAUCAGAAAAGUGCAAUUAAAACAACAAUGAGACACCACUAUGCAUCUCCUAGAAUGACCAAAACCCAGAACACUGACACCAAAUACUCUUGAGGAUGUGGAGCAAUUCUCAUUGCUGAUGGGAAUGCAAAAUGGUACAGUCUUUUGGAAGACAGCUUGGAGGUUUCUUAUAAAGCUAAACUUGGAUUUACCAUACCAUCUACCAGCAGUGCUCCUUGGUAUUUACCCAGUGGAGCUGAAAAUGUAUGUCCCCACAGAAAAACAGGCACGUGGACGCUUACAGAAGUUUUACACAUAAUUUCCAAGACUUGGAAGCAACCAAGAUGUCCUUCAGUCGGUGAAUGGAAGAAUAAACUGUGGAACAAUCAGACCAUGGAAUAUUAUUCAGUGCUGAAUAGAAAUGAGCUAAGAAAGCCAUAAAAAAACAUGGAGGAAAAAAUGUUCAACACCAAGACUGAACCCUAAUGUAACCUGUGGACUUUGGAUGAUAAUGACGCAUCAAUGCAAGUCAUAAAUUUGGAAAAAUGUACCUCUCCUGGGAAGGAGUUGAUAAUGAGGUCAGGAGGGCAUCUUUCUCGGCUCUUCACUGUGAGAACCUUGUGGGAUUCCUGAAGAUGAAACCAUGAACGCGAGGGAGUCUUGCUAAAACUGCAGCAUUCGAGAGGUUUUCACUCAUGCUGGCUCACACUUGUCCUCUAGCAAUUCAUCAAAAUUACCACGACAAAGAAGACAGAAAAUACUACACACUACCCAGAGAUUGAAACUGAAGGUGUGAACAACAGAGAAAAGAGAGGGCAAAGAAAAGGAAAACAAAGAAGACGUGGGAUAUGAAAGGUGUAUGCCAUGUGUGGACAUCAAGAAAUGUUUCAGCUCGCACUUCUGCCACCAAUUGAGCCUGGAACCUCACUACUUGGAGUUGGGGGGAGGGCAGUGCUCAUUCAUCACCUGUGAAAAUAGGGAUUGAGAGUUCCCUAACUUUGCCAUUUUUCCUCAAGCACUGGCAUUGGUCUUCUGAAUGUCAGGCUCUGUAUAAGUGAGUCCUCAGCUGAGCCACAGGCUCUGCAUUCCUGGCAGUCCACACACUUCAUAUCCUUUGUUUAUGCUGCUCAUUUUGGAAUUCAAACAGGUUGGUGGGGCACAUUUCAACAGAUAAUGACACACACUGACUGCUCAUGAGCUAUUUUAUGGUGUGAGAAUGUUGUGAUGUUAUGAAAUGCGGAGGCAUUAAAACAUGGGGACAUUUUCUAGAAGAUCCUUAGCAGAGAGUACAGAAGACUAAGGUCCAAAUCUCUGAAAUGAUGUUUUCCAAAUUAUUGCACAGCUAUGUCAAAGUACCUUGAUCCAGUUAAUGUUAACAAAUAAAAAAUUAUGAAAUGUUAUUUUCUAGGUAUGGAUAGUAGUGGAUAGUAGUAGAUCUGUUGUGUAGUGGAGAUUACUUAGGAAGAAUAAAUUUCAACUUUACCAAGAAAGUACUACAUUAAUUGCAUUAGGGAAUUGUGAAUUGCAUUAGGAAAAUGCUCAUUCUUCUUUCAAUAGCCAAUAUCUGGAUACUAUACUCUCUUGAAUUUCUAAGAUUUGCAUCCAAUAUUCUAUAAUUAGCUUUCCAGUUUAUUGAAUGAUUUAAUUUACAUACAAAUAUUUUCUAAUAUAUUCCCUGUAAAAUAGUUUAAAAAAUUAAACGUUUCUCUAAUUACACAUUCCUCCCUAGCUGAUACAAUUUCAUUUAUUUGCUUACUUUCCCAGCUGGACAUUCAGAAAUUUUUUACUCAUAUUGUCUUCAAUUGCAUAUUUGCCAGUUUCUAGCUUUUAUUUUAUUUUUUAUAUCCAUUUUGUUCUAGGUGUGGAAAUUGCUAAGUGUAGAGCUUAAUAAUAUUUCACCAGAAAGAUAUGUGUCUAACUCCCUCAUGAAGAAAUAGUAUGUUACCAACACUCCCAAAUUUCCUUUGAUGUCAAAAAGCAUUAUUUUUCUCGAGUCUUUUUUUGUGUUGGUAUGAUAUAUAAACGAAAUCAUAUACACAUUUAUUUUUUCAUUUAGAUACUUUCCUUCAGUAUUAUGAUUGAGACAUUAACCUCAGUUUAAGUAUUUAUGUCAUUUUCAUUGCUAGUUCAUUGUAAGAAGCACACCUUUUAUUUAUCUAUUCCCUUAAUACAUAUUCCUGUUUCCAGUGUUAGAUUAAUGCAAAUAAGGCUAUCGUGAGCAUUCUUUUACAUGUUUUUCAGUGUACAAAUAUAUGCUGAGAGAGGAAUUACUGAAUCACAGAAAGCAGUAUAUGCAGCUAUAAUAGAUAUUACCAUAUCCACCAAACGUUUAGCAUUUCCUGUUUCAUUUUAUUCACUCUGGGGGAUGUAUAGAGAUUUCACAUUACAUUAUAAUUUAAUUUCUCUAAUGUCUAAUGAUGGGGAGCACCUUUUUCAUGUUUUUAUUGUCAAUUUGGCUAUCUUCUUUUUCUAAAUGCAUGUUCAAGUAUUUCAUCCAUUUUUAUUGGUCUUCUUUUUUUACUGGUUUAAUUGAAUUCUUUACAUAUUAUGGAUAUGAGCUCUUUGUCAAUUUUAUAUGUAUGCUUAUAUUCACUCCUACUUCACUCUGCAGCUUGCUUUUUAUUUUUAUGCUUUUAAUAAUGAACAUAAUUUCUUUAUUUUAAUAAAUAUCAUUAUUUUU
rnacentral:lncRNA from 1 species